AGUCACCCGCCAACUCCUCUGCAAACGUUUAUCCAGUUCCCAGCGGGGGCUGCUCUGCCCCAGGACCGGGCUCACUCGGGAGCGCCAGGCACGUUUGUGAAUGGAAAGAGGAAUGGCGUCCAGAGUGUGAAGGAAUGUCAGUGUGGGAAGGCAGUAGACGGGGCAGAGGAGACCUUGGGCCAACCUGGAGCCCCAUCCACAUUGAGGGACCCCAGUACAGCCACGUGAGGAGUGCCCACACGGAUUCCGCCCACCUCCAGGGCAUCCACAUGCCCACCGCCCACGCCAGCAGGUGGGCCGCCCCCAGCACUCGGGUUUCAGGAGACAGGAGACUUUUCCGUGUCUUGCUCUCCAGCCCCAGCAUGACAGCAAAGGGCCCUCCCGUCUGGCCCGCAGCUUCCACUGGCCCAGAACACGUCUAGGCAUCCAUGCUCUGAAGCCAGCUCCGACCAGGAACCGCCUGCCCAAACCGGGCUGUGGCUACACGGUGGGGUGCAGACUCCCGGGGGGACCUCGUCACAGGCCCUGCUGGAGGGCUUGGCGCGCUUCCCCCAAGUCUGGGCCUGACUCCACCCUGGAGCUCAACUGGACUCCCUGCUUAGGGGGAUGCAAGGCUGGGUCUGGGGUCUCUCUGAGUGGUCCCCCUGAGCACUGCCCCUGCCAGGGGCUGGCUCCUGCCUGGCGUGUCCCCAGGGGACCCCAGGCUUCUAGCUGUAGCCUGGAGAAUGCCCAACUCUAUGGUCAGCUGUGCAGGCCUCACCCAAGGCUAAGGUCUUGGACACCCGUCUCUCACAGCUCCACACACACACUCUCUCACAGCUCCACACACUCACACUCAAACUCACUCCAGCCAGGGCUGCUAUCCAUCCCCCUCACAGCACGGCCGCCCUGGAGCACAUGCGGCCCUGCACAGCCGAUCAGAUCAGCGGAGGAAACCCUUGAAAAUCCUUUAGGGCAGGCCCCUGGCAGCAGCUGCCAGCAAAAUCACCCUCACGCCCCUCCCCUGCGUGGGGCCCAGGAGCCAGGCUAGGGGCUCAGCGCUCCAUCCAGGACGGCACAAUGGGGCUGUGUCUGGGACCAAAGCAGAGAGCAGACCGGAGGCAGCAAGGCCUCUGUCCGCCGUGCCGCCACCAGUACCUCAUUUCGGGUGCCCCAGGCAGAGGCUUGCUGCUUGGCUGGGGCCAGAGAAUCCUUGGGGGCCAGGCUAGGCGCCCCCCGGGAUCAGCUGCUGGGACCCCUAUCAGGGAGGUCACCAGGUUUUAGGGAUGUCCAGAGGACAAUAGUGUCCCUCGCUCUGGGGAGCCAGGCCUGCCUCUGACGGCUGCCACCCAUUCGCAAGCCCCUGCCUGGACCUCACGCUCGUGUGGCUCUGCCUGAGGCCUGGUACCACCCAGCCUUGCUUGGGGCUCCAGGCACCUGCCCGGCUGGGCCCAGGGCAGCCCCUGGGGGGACAUUGGGAGUCACCAGGCAGGCAUGCCACCUGGGGCAGGGCCACCCUGUCAUCCCCAAAGGCGUGGGGCACAGAGCCCAGUCACUGGGAUCACCCAGGAAUGUGCCCGGAGAGUAGAUGCCUUUUCAGGCAGGUACACACCCACCUGGCUGGCUCCCUUCCAACCCAGCUGGAUCCCACUGGGCUCGUGGAGGGCUGGUGAGGGGCAGAGCCCCAUCCAGAGCAGCCAGGUCUCUUUGGCCAUGAUGCCCCUGAGUGCCCCGGGCAUGGCAGGGCCAGGCUUGGGAGGGAAGCACCCCACGGUGCCCCUGCCAGGUGCCAGGGGAG
rnacentral:lncRNA from 10 species